rnacentral:rRNA from 1 species
GGAAGGGGUGUAUUUAUUAGAUAAAAAACCAAUGAGGGCAACCUCCUAGUUGGUGAGUCAUAAUAACUUGUCGAAUCGCUAAGCCUUUGGCGGCGAUGAAUCAUUCAAAUUUCUGCCCUAUCAACUUUGGAUGGUAAGGUAGUGGCUUACCAUGGUUUUUACGGGUAACGGGGAAUAAGGGUUCGAUUCCGGAGAGGGAGCCUGAGAAACGCCUACCACAUCCAAGGAAGGCAGCAGGCGCGCAAAUUACCCAAUCCUAACUCAGGGAGGUAGUGACAAUAAAUGACGAUACAGGGCCAACUGGUCAUGUAAUUGGAAUGAGUACAAAUUAAAACUCUUAACGAGGAACAAUUGGAGGGCAAGUCUGGUGCCAGCAGCC